rnacentral:sRNA from 1 species
ACCGGCCGCGACUCCGGGCUUGGCCCCGGCCCUAGCUCGUCGGCUGUGUAUUGCGCGUGGAGGCUGCAGUCACGGUGGCGCCCGCGGGGACGGAGGAGGGAAUGAGUGAAGAGGAGCAAGGCUCCGGCACUACCACGGGCUGCGGGCUGCCUAGUAUAGAGCAAAUGCUGGCCGCCAACCCAGGCAAGACCCCGAUCAGCCUUCUGCAGGAGUAUGGGACCAGAAUAGGGAAGACGCCUGUGUACGACCUUCUCAAAGCCGAGGGCCAAGCCCACCAGCCUAAUUUCACCUUCCGGGUCACCGUUGGCGACACCAGCUGCACUGGUGAGGAAGGCUUGGGCAGCCUGGCUGGGGUGUGCAUUUGCAGGUCCCCAUGGCUUUGUUUCUUGGAGUCUCUCUCUUCACAGUCCUUUUCUCCAAGGCCAGUGAGGGAAGGGGAGAUUUCAGGGGAAAAGCUACUGACUGGAUUGGGAGAACAGGGCUGUAAGAAGGUGGGUAGGACGUGGGAGAGUUAGAGGAGCGAGCAGGACUCCCACAGUGAUCUGGCAGAUCCCCAUCACCCUAGAGGAAAAGUAAGAGAAGAUAACUGAAAUCCCAGUGGAGUAUUUGGGGGAGUGAGUGCCUGGCGUGCUGGGCUCUGUUCCCGGUGCUUAACCAAAUUCCCGUUUAAUUUUAAACCUCAGUCUAACCAAUGAUUGUAGGUGGUAGUAUCCGCCCCCCCGACUCCUCCCCCCGCCCGCCCAUGUUGAAUAUGAGGAAACUGAGUGUUUGAGAUAGUAAAUGGCUGGUGCAUGGUCACAUGCCUAGUAUGUGGCAGAGUGGGGCUUUUACUCCAGAGCCUACCCUCUCUUAUUCCAGCUCUCUGUAUUUAUUGAGGGAAAAGAAAGUGCUUUACAAAGGAAAUUAAAGCAUUUGAGCUCAGAAGUCCACCCAAGGCGUUUGAGCUCAGAAGUCCUGCUUGGCAUGGCUUAAUUCUGGAAGCUAACGGAAAGAUAAGGGCUCUUCCUUCCAGCAAUUAGUGAAACACUUCCAGUCUUCAGCAGGGGGAGGUUGGUCAGAA